rnacentral:rRNA from 1 species
GACGAACGCUGGCGGUGUGCUUAACACAUGCAAGUCGAACGGUAAGGCCCUUUCGGGGGUACACGCGUGGCGAACGGGUGAGUAACACGUGAGUAACCUGCCCUCAUCUCUGGGAUAACAGUCGGCAACGGUUGCUAAUACUGGAUAUGAGCUUGCAAGGCAUCUUGUGGGUUGGAAAGAUUUUUUUUGGUUGGGGAUGGACUCGCGGCCUAUCAGCUUGUUGGUGAGGUAGUGGCUCACCAAGGCUUCGACGGGGAGCCGGCCUGAGAGGGCGACCGGCCACAUUGUGACUGAGAUACGGCCCAAACUCCUACGGGAGGCAGCAGUGGGGAAUAUUGCACAAUGGACGGAAGUCUGAUGCAGCAACGCCGCGUGCGGGAUGACGGCCUUCGGGUUGUAAACCGCUUUCAAUUGUGACGAAGCUUUUUUGUGACGGUAGCAGUAGAAGAAGCACCGGCUAACUACGUG